AGUGAACGCUGGCGGUAGGCCUAACACAUGCAAGUCGAACGGCAGCACAGUAAGAGCUUGCUCUUACGGGUGGCGAGUGGCGGACGGGUGAGGAAUACAUCGGAAUCUACUUUUUCGUGGGGGAUAACGUAGGGAAACUUACGCUAAUACCGCAUACGACCUACGGGUGAAAGCAGGGGAUCUUCGGACCUUGCGCGACUGAAUGAGCCGAUGUCGGAUUAGCUAGUUGGCGGGGUAAAGGCCCACCAAGGCGACGAUCCGUAGCUGGUCUGAGAGGAUGAUCAGCCACACUGGAACUGAGACACGGUCCAGACUCCUACGGGAGGCAGCAGUGGGGAAUAUUGGACAAUGGGCGCAAGCCUGAUCCAGCCAUACCGCGUGGGUGAAGAAGGCCUUCGGGUUGUAAAGCACUUUUGUUGGGGAAGAAAAGCAGCAGGUUAAUACCGCGCUGUUCUGACGGUACCCAAAGAAUAAGCACCGGCUAACUUCGUG
rnacentral:rRNA from 1 species